CCCUUAGAUGUUCUGGGCGGCCCGCGCACUACAUUGGCACUGGCAACAAGAUCCUAGAUCUGGUAUUUCGGGGUAUUCUACCAACUGGUGUCGUGACUGGGAUUAACCCCUGCAAUUAUUGGUUAUGAACGAGGAAUUCCUUGUAAUCACGGUUUAUCAACCCGUGUUGAAUGCGUCCCUGCCCUUUGUACACACCGCCCGUCGCUCCUACCGAUGAAUCGUCCGGUGAAGUUCAUGGAGUCGCGGCUGCUCCAGCUGUUUUCGAAGUGAAAUGGACCUCNUNAUUUAANGGAAGGAGAANUCGUANCA
rnacentral:rRNA from 1 species